rnacentral:rRNA from 1 species
AUCGAACGCUGGCGGCAGGCCUAAUACACGCAAGUAGAGCGAGCGGCGGACGGGUGAGGAAUGUAUGGGCAUCUGCCCGACAGAGGGGGACAACUACUGGAAACCGUGCCUAAUACUGCAUACUACGGGAUCAACCCACGUGGGAGUAGCUAGUAGUUGGGGUAAAGGCUCACCUAGGCGACGAUCCCUAGCUGGUCUGAGAAGAUGAUCAGCCACACUAGGACAGAGACACGGCCAAGACUCCUACGGGAGGCAGCAGUUGGGAAUUUUAGUCAAUGGACGCAAGGCGGAUAGAGCCAUGCCGCGUGAAUGAAGAAGUCCUUAGGGUUGUAAAGUACUUUCGGCGGGGAGGCGUUACCCGCAGAGGAAGCACCGGCUAACUCCAUGCCAGCAGCCGCGGUAAUAC